AUUAGUUUUUUAAUUGAAAGCUUGUAUGAAGGGUUGGACGAGAUAAAAUCUGUCUUUAUUUAAAUUACAAUAGAAUUUAACUUUUAAGUCAAAAGGCUUAAAUGUAUAUAAAAGACGAGAAGACCCUAUAGAUCUUUAUUUAAUUAAUAUUUUGAUAAUUUAAGAUUAUUUUAGUUUAAAGUUUUAAUUAAAUUUUAUUGGGGUAAUAUAGAGAUUAAAUAAAUUCUUUUUAUUUAUUACAUUGAUUUAUGAAUAUAUGAUCCAAUAUUAUUGAUUAUAAGAUUAAGUUACCUUAGGGAUAACAGCGUAAUUUUUUUGGAGAGCUCAUAUCGAUAAAAAAGUUUGCGACCUCGAUGUUGGAUUAAAAAUUAGCUUGGGUGCAGAAGCUCAAGAUUUUGGUCUGUUCGACCAUUAAAUUUUUACAUGAUCUGAGUUCAGACCGGCGUAAGCCAGGUCGGUUUCUAUCUUUAUUUAUCUAAAAUAUUUUAGUACGAAAGGACCAAAUAUUUAAUAUAAUUAUAUUUCUUUUUUGAAUAAUAUU
rnacentral:rRNA from 1 species